GCCUGGGACGUGGAGCGGGGUCCGUGUGGCCUUCCAGACUAGAUAAAUGUAAUGACUGAGACUCACCCACACGGUAAACAGCGUCUCAAGACCCCUCCAGCAACCCAGUAACUCGUCCUCCAAUCUGUGGCCAACUUCCCCUAUCAGUCACCUCUUGGUAUGAGGCGGCGGGAGAGACCCGGACUACGAGUCUUCACUCCUGGGUUCUUGUCCUAGCUUGAUGACACCUCCUGCCUGGCGUUCUCACACAGAUCCUACCAUAAUUGACUGACUGGAAAAUAGACUCAUGGAUUUGACAUCACCACCAUAAACUAACUCUUGGAUGAUUCAAGCUGUCAGAGCCCUGGGACUUGGGACUUACAGAAAAAUUCCAGCCCAAAAGCAGAAGACUUCUAUGGAGAAAAAUGCUAAGCCACAAACAGUUCAGCAUCUGAUCUAGGAACAGAUUCUAGGGACAAGGGAAAGCAAACAAAGGACAUGAAGGUCUAUUUUGAACAGCACAAGCUCAAGGCAACCAUGACUUGAAGCAGGGGGGCCAGCCAUACUCCUCAAGGACCACGGAAGCAGCCCUCACUGGCAUUGAAUUCACAUCACUCAGGUCUAAACCUUCCUGGAUCCUGGAGAAUUCUCUGCCCAGAGCCAUGGACUUCUCUCUCCAGCCUAUGGGCUUUGGAUUUAUUUCUGACUGUUGGGAAAUCCCCAUUCCCAUCCUGCCUUCUGCUUUCAGCCCAGGCCCUGGCUUGGGUAAAACACAACGAAGGAGCAGGUGACAUCUCAGGACAGAAAGGGCCAGGUCAGGGAAGUGCCUUCCAGGGAUUCACACCAGAGCUGGAGACGUGGUUGGGAUAUUACGUUAGAGAAAAUGAAAGCUGGGGGAGUGGGAGGGACCUGCCUCGGGUCUCCAGAAAGUCAGUAAUAGAGCCAAGGUAAGUCCCAGGAUGCCUGGCUCUCAUCGCAUCCACUCUAUCUCAGGGCCACCAAAGCCCUACCCCAUCAGAGUCCCCCUAACGUUCCUUCUCAUCUCUCUCUCUACCCCAAGACACUUAGUUCUGCCCUAAAAGAUUCUCAGUGUUCUCCAAAUACAUCAUCUGCUUUUAACUCCAUGCCUUUGCAUGCAAUACGCCUUUUUGUGCAUCCCCUUCUCCCACUUGUCUACUAGGUAAACCCCUACUCAUCCCUCAAGGCCCGUUCAAAUAAAUGUUUCCUUCCUUCAAACAAAGUCUAAACUCAGUUUAUCCAGAAUCCAUUCAUCUCUCUUUCCUCUGU